GCGCAGGAAAAGAAACCAACAGGGAUUGCCCUAGUAACGGCGAGUGAAGCGGCAACAGCUCAAAUUUGAAAUCUGGUCCUUCGGGGCCCGAGUUGUAAUUUGCAGAGGAUGCUUUUGGCGCGGUGCCUUCCGAGUGCCCUGGAACGGGACGCCACAGAGGGUGAGAGCCCCGUAUGGUUGGACACCAAGCCUAUGUAAAGCUCCUUCGACGAGUCGAGUAGUUUGGGAAUGCUGCUCAAAAUGGGAGGUAAACCCCUUCUAAAGCUAAAUACUGGCCAGAGACCGAUAGCGCACAAGUAGAGUGAUCGAAAGAUGAAAAGCACUUUGAAAAGAGAGUUAAAAAGCACGUGAAAUUGUUGAAAGGGAAGCGUUUGCGACCAGACUUGCGCCCGUCGAAUCAACCGUCCCUCGUGGGCGGUGCACUUCGGCGGGCUCAGGCCAGCAUCAGUUUACUGUAGGGGGAGAAAGGCGCUGGGAAUGUGGCUCCUCGGAGUGUUAUAGCCCGGCGUGUAAUACCCCUCGGUGGACUGAGGACCGCGCGAAAGCAAGGAUGCUGGCGUAAUGGUCGUCAGCGACCCGUCUUGAAACACGCACCAAGGAGUCGUCCUAAUAUGCAAGUGUGUGGGUGGGGAGCCCCAUCUCGUAUUGAAAGUGAACGGAGCGUG
rnacentral:rRNA from 1 species